AUACUAUGGAGCGGCACAGCUAGCAGGCAAUCUCUAACCCUACUCCUCUCUAUACAAUACCUGCCCUGCAAUCAAAAACACCAAACUGGGGAGUGAGUAUAUAAAUACUCAGUGAGUGGAGUAGAGAGUACUAUGCACAUGAGACCAGAUAUGAUCAUGGCUCGAGGUGAAAUCUCAAGAGCAUAUGAGCAGUCAUCAAGAACAGGAUACACAUAACUCAACAUAAGAAAUAAGAAGUAAAUCAUCACAAUCCCAAUCAA
rnacentral:lncRNA from 1 species